rnacentral:rRNA from 1 species
AAUGGCGACCGGCGCACGGGUGAGUAACACGUAUCCAACCUGCCGAUAACUCGGGGAUAGCCUUUCGAAAGAAAGAUUAAUAUCCGAUGGUAUAAUCAGACCGCAUGGUCUUGUUAUUAAAGAAUUUCGGUUAUCGAUGGGGAUGCGUUCCAUUAGGCAGUUGGUGAGGUAACGGCUCACCAAACCUUCGAUGGAUAGGGGUUCUGAGAGGAAGGUCCCCCACAUUGGAACUGAGACACGGUCCAA